GCUCUGCCUUCCUCAGCUGAGCGGCUUUCUCUUCAGGCCAUUCAGCGGUAAUUGAUUCCUCAAUGCUGUCAAUGCCCCAGUAAAGAUUUGAUAUGACUGACUGGUCAGAGAACUCGAAGAAAUCCUGUUUCUGAUUUUGAAGCUUGGAGGUACUUGCAGGACUUGAUAAUUGUGCAAGCAAGGACUGCAGAUAGCAUAUUGACCUUCAGAGCAUACCACGUUAUAGGAGUUGGACCAAUCUGAUUAGCGAACUAGGGCAGUUUUAUUAUACUUGCCAUUCUGAUGUGCCCUCAUAUUAUUUGACCACCUAGAUGAAGGGUAAAUUUCAUCGUGAAGAUUACAAUGCAGGGUAAAUUGGUUUAUUUGCAGAAAGAACCUAAACCUGUGUGUACUGGAUAAUUAUAUGGAACUGAGGGCAACUAUGUUGGA